rnacentral:rRNA from 1 species
CUACCGGGGUAUCUAAUCCUGUUUGAUCCCCACGCUUUCGCACAUCAGCGUCAGUUACAGACCAGAAAGUCGCCUUCGCCACUGGUGUUCCUCCAUAUCUCUGCGCAUUUCACCGCUACACAUGGAAUUCCACUUUCCUCUUCUGCACUCAAGUUUUCCAGUUUCCAAUGACCCUCCACGGUUGAGCCGUGGGCUUUCACAUCAGACUUAAAAAACCGCCUACGCGCGCUUUACGCCCAAUAAUUCCGGAUAACGCUUGCCACCUACGUAUUACCGCGGCUGCUGGCAC